rnacentral:rRNA from 1 species
CCCUAUGGGGCGCGGAGGAGCUGUACGGCCGGCUGGCACUGGACUUCAUUCACCCGGACCCGCGUGACAUGGUCAGGCAACGGAUCACCAAUGCACUGUCGCGACAGGACAACCCGCCCAUCGAGGAAUUGAUCGUUCGACUGGACGGUUCGACUGUUCCGGUGGAGAUGGUCUCCGUGCCCUAUACCUAUCAGGGCUCCGAUUCCGUUCUGGCCAUUGCCCGUGACAUCAGUGAGAGGAAAAGGGUCCAGGAUGAACUGGUCAAGGCGCAGAAGCUGGAAUCCCUGGGCGUGCUGGCGGGAGAGC